GCUCGCAGCGGCCGGUCGAAGAGUGUCUUGGCGGGGGGCGGGCCCGGGGAAGGGGGCGCCUACUGCCCCGCCCCGCCCGGCUGGCGGGGACUGUCGGGGGAGCGGAGCGUUUCACCACGUCCUAGAAAUUAGGCUGCUGAGUUCUGUCUCCAAAUAAUAUCCUUUAAAAAACAGAAGAAAAGAAAAGAAAGAAACACCCUUUUAUCCACAAAUAGAGAGGAAAUAUGUUUCGGUUAAAACUUUACGUAGUUCUUGGGAGGGGCAAGAUAGGGGUAGGGGAUUAAGGAACACAGCCUGCAAUGUAAACAGAAAGAGGCUACAAGAAAAUACUGUGCAACGCAGGGAAUAUAGAAAAUUUUUAAAUUUUAUAGUAAGUGAAGUAUAAUCUAUAAAAAUAUUGAAUUACUGUAUCGUCCACCUAACAUAAUAUUAUAAACGAAUAUAAUAUUGUAAACUCACUGUACUUUAAAAAUCAGCCAGUUCUUCAAGGAUGGGUUAUGCAGAGGGUAGGGUUUCACAUCUGACCAUACCCUAGUGUCUGGCCCUUGAGGAAGGAAAAUUUUAAGGGAGAAAGGGCUGAUGGUCGCUUAAUUCCUGGAGAUGUUACAGAGCCUGCUGUACUCAAACCAAAGCAUUGGCACUGUAAUUUGUAUCCAGUAAUUAUUGUCAGAGGGAAAAAUAGCAACACUGGAUAUCCUAGUUCAGAACUCACACAUAGUAAUGGAAAAAACGUGGACUCUGGAUUCAGGCUCGGGUGGAACAAUCUUUGUGCAAUUGAGCCUCAGUUCCAUAAUCUGUAUAAUGGGUUUUGUUCAUAAUACCACUCAUAGAGCUGUGAUUAGUUCUGUUAGGUUGAAUCAUGUGAAAUUGCCAACGUUUGGCCAUUUUGACUUAAUCAUCCACCCUGAUGCUGCUUACAUACUGCUGUCAUCUAUGUGGAAGGGAAAUGGAGGCAAAGGCAGACAGUGAGCCGCCUCAGAUCACACUGGGGAAGGUCCAAGAGGGACUCUUGGCUUCAGUACAUUUUCCACGGUCAAGAUUCCUCUGACCAUUUGGAGCUGGUUUCUCCAAAAAGGGACAGCGUCUUUCAUGUCCACUCUACUAGGAAUAUUUUAUUUCUAAAAUUUAAACUGUGGCCUCCAGCUGUUCUGCAUAUUGGAUAAGGGGACAAAACAGGAAUCAGAUGUUCUCCAAUCACAAUACUAUCCAAAUGAGGCAAUAUUGUCCAGGUUUGGCAGAUCAGAAGAUGGAGACUCGCCUGGGUGACAGAACUAGCCAAGGGUAGCAGCCUUCUUGUUCCAAAGCAUGUACUCGUUCCACAUCUGAGGUUCCACUGCACCACUUGGUGGGGGUGAAUGUUCAGAACCGUGCAGGAUGGAGGAAUGGGCUGUGUGUCUGUGGUUGGACACAGACCACUCAGGACUGGCCCUGGGGGGACUUCCUGGGCGUGGAGAAGCCACAUGUAGGAGCAAGGGACUCACAUGAAGAGGCUGCCUACUCCCCUGCUGGGGGCUCCAGACCAGAGCCUUGAGGAGACAGGGAUGUCCAGCGGUUUAUUCUCACACAUGAGCCCCUGUGCUCUCCUCAUGAUAGCCAGGAGGGUCCAGACUCCCGCUUAUGCUCUCAGAGCAGCGAUUCUCCACGCCGGCUGCACAUUAGAGCCCAUCGGGUCCCACACCACAAGGACAGUACUGGACAGAGGCGCGGCACCCGUCCUUUUUCAGUGCUCCUUAGAUGAUACCAAUAUACAGCCAAGGUUGGGAACCAGCGUCCUGAACUCCAGGUUUAUGUGGGAGACCCCCAGAACCUGAUCCGUAGAGACCCCUUUGCAGGAAAGGGCUAUUGGAUGGUCCUUACAGCCCUUUCCUACCACUAGUCCUGUGAGGCCAUCACAGCUCUUAACUCUGAGGGGACUGGGCCACAAGACACAUAGGGGGCUGCUGUGUGGUCUGGAUUUUUUUGAAGACGGUCUGUCCCGAGGGCUCACCUGUAUCAAAGGAUAGAACACUGGCCAGGCUGUGGGGUGACACUGUGCGAGAGGGAGACUCUGGGCCUACCUGGGCUUGCAGAGCACGGUCCGGCCUAGAACAUAGUGUUUGUUUCCUGGAACUCACCAGAAUCCAGCCUCAGGGAGCGCUGCCCCAGGCCGAGACGUCUGCCUUCCUGUUGGUGGUGGGAUUAGCGGAGACAACUCCACUCAUGUUGGUGUUCACGAGACGGACUUAUUCUAAUUCGGAACUGCUGACACUUCACAUUUUGUAAUCCUAUGGGGUUUGUUUUGUUUUGUUUUGUUUUGUUUUGCGGUACACGGGACUCUCACUGUUGUGGCCUCUCCCGUUGUGGAGCACAGGCUCCAGACGUGCAGGCUCAGCGGCCAUGGCUCACGGGCCCAGCUGCUCCGCGGCAUGUGGGAUCCUCCCGGACCGGGGCACGAACCCGUGUCCCCUGCAUCGGCAGGCGGACUCUCAACCACUGCGCCACCAGGGAAGCCCUGUAAUCCUAUGGUUUUUAUAUUA